UGGUGGCAGUAGUAGUACCGUACCGUUUAUAUUAUCUUAGGUCGUACCAAUUCUCACGCUCCAUCUUUUAUGGUACCUGACGUUAAUAAUAUAAAUCAUGGAUGUAACGUUUCCAUCUGAAAUAUGGUUGGAGAUAUUUAAGUGGAUAAAACUGCCGAAAUUGAUGGAACUCAGGCUCGUGUGCCGACUUUUCUACCAUUUGAUAGAAUACAACUUAGAUGAAACCCAGGAGUGGAGAAGUUUGGCCUAUAAAACCCUGUACGAUGAUUGUUUGUAUACGACAAUGCAGCGGGCUUUCCCCUAUCAUAUCGUGACUGAGAAGGAUCAUCCGAUAUUGUGGCGUAGGACAUACUUGUCCUCCAAAAAGUGGAAGAAGGUCAUGGAAAAUGAGCAUAAGAAAGACUCGAUCAUUUUAGUGUCUUCUUGCAGCAAGAUUUCAUGUAUUAGGACUUUCGAUAAGUACAUAUCAAUUGCUUUAGACAAUGGCGUGAUAGAAAAUUACACUAUUGAUGACUUGAAAACGCCGUAUUCUUUAGCACAUCACAAUACCUAUAUCAAACAAAUUGUGUUUUGGUAUACCAAUGACGAAGUACUCAUCGUGACUGUUGGACAGGACAACGGUUUGAAGUUUUGGGAUCUUCAAAAUAAAAAAGAAAUAGUUACUACCGGUUUCUACGCUAAUUGCAUUAACUCUGGAGAAUGCCGGCAUUUUUGCAUCGGCGAAUGGGAUGGAAUUUUAACCUCUUAUGAGAAAAUCGACAACCAAAUAACAACUGGUUCAAAAUGUGAUUUACGUUUAAAUACAAACGAAAAAAUACUUAAUCAUGCUACCAACGGAAUAUCUAUGGCGGCACUUGCAUAUCAUGAUUAUAAAAUGAAGAUUUAUCAUUACUGUGCAAAAUUAGAAGGCAAACGUUUGAUUGGGUUCAACGUGACAUACGAAUCAUCAGAAGUUGAUGUGCCAGAACGUUUACUUUCUUCUCUGCAUGAAAUACUCAUAUUAACCAAUACCAUUUAUUUUAUAGUCGCAGAUGAAAAAAUCGUAACAACUCAUUUAAUCCGUCCCAAAUGGUAUAAUUUCAACUCGACCGAAUACUUUAAAUGUCGUGUCAGAUCAAUAGCGCUCCAUGCACAAAUUCUGAUGUUUGGUCUGGAAGAUGAAAACCUUAGGACGAUGUUAACACUAGGAUAUCCAAAACACGAGAGAGAGUACCUUCAGUAAUUUUUGAGUCUUCGAUUUUGGGCGGUUGCAAAGUGCAGGACAAUCUUUCGAACAUAUAUACGUUCAUACUCUCUAUACCUGCCCAUGUAUAGGCGCAUCUAUACAUGCACAAACGGAUACGUAUAUGUUGAGCCAAAAGAAGGGAUAUUAAUGUCUCAUUGCUGGAAAGAUUAUUUGAUACAUAAAGGUCAAGUAAUAGAAAAAAUAUAUGUCUGUCGUACAGAGUAUUUAAAAUUGGAGUACCUCAAUCCAAAAUUUAAAUAAUUUUUCCGGACAUAUUUUUUUCAUUUUAACCAAAGAAGAGCCAUGAGUUUUGUUCUGGCAAAAAAAAUUACUUCCAAUGUACGUCAAUCAAUGUUUGAUUUUUUAGUUGGCUUAAAGUUCCGAAGGAGAAAAAACUGCAGCUACACCGAAACCAAAGCCUUGUUUGUUAAAUUAAUUUUUCAUCACAGUUUAAUUGGAUACAUAAUUGUUUACAUGGAGAUGCAGGCAGUACGGAUAAUUUCCGGCCGAGUUACAGUGAACACCGCAAAUUGUUUUUUUUUCAAGACGUCCUAGGGGAAGCUCUGUCACGGGCUAAUGGUUUAAUAUUUUUGCAUGAAAAAUUUACAGAACAUAGUCAAAACUAUGCUCAAUAAUGUAUA
rnacentral:misc_RNA from 1 species